CAAUAGCGUAUAUUAAAGUUGUUGCGGUAAAAAAGCUCGUAGUUGGAUUUCUGUUGAGAGCGACCGGUCCAUACCAUGUAUGCGUAUCUGGCUUGCUCUCGGCAUCCUCUCGAUAGACGUUACUGCGCUUGAUUGCGUGGUGCGGAUCUCGGGACUUUUACUUUGAGGAAAUUAGAGUGUUCACGGCAGGCUUUCGCCAGAAUACAUUAGCAUGGAAUAAUACUAUAGGAUCUUGGUUCUAUUUUGUUGGUUUCUAGAAUUGAGAUAAUGAUUAAUAGGGACAAUUGGUGGCAUUCGUAUCAACACGUCAGAGGUGGAAUUCUUGGAUUGUGUUGCGACGAACUACUGCGAAAGCAUUUGCCAAGGAUGUUUUCAUUGA
rnacentral:rRNA from 1 species